UACGGAGGGUGCUAGCGUUGUUCGGAAUUACUGGGCGUAAAGGGCGCGUAGGCGGCCGUUUGCGUCGGAUGUGAAAGCCCGGGGCUCAACCUCGGAACGGCAUUCGAUACGGGACGGCUGGAGACCGGGAGAGGAGAGUGGAAUAGCCAGUGUAGAGGUGAAAUUCGUAGAUAUUGGCUGGAACACCGGUGGCGAAAGCGGCUCUCUGGCCCGGUUCUGGCGCUGAGGCGCGAAAGCGUGGGGAGCAAACAGG
rnacentral:rRNA from 1 species